ACUUCACUUGACGCCGGUGCCAGGCGAACAUGGCGGCGGCCACUGGACCGUUGUUUUGGCUGAGGAAGGAAACCCUGAAGGUGCCUGCCACUGGCGCUCUUUGCCUUGAACCGGCAGCGCCGCUGUGCGCGGCUGCGGAAGAACCCUGCUGUGCAGGCCGCCUCAGUGGUGGUGCGGCCGGGAGGCACCUACGCUGGGGUCCUCUUUCGCCAGGAGUCCUUCUUUCACUGGGUGUUCGGUGUCACCGAGCCAGGCUUCCUGCCAACCAUGCCACCUGGAUGGGAAAGAUCCAUUCCAACGAGCACUUCAAGGAGAAGUAUGCUGUGGACGACGUCCAGGACGCAGAUGAGAUUGCCAGUGUCCUGACGUCACAGAAGCCCUCUGUCCUCCUCACUUUGCAUGGCGUCAACACGGACAGCAGCAGCGUCUGCAGGGAGGCCUCCUUCGAGGGCAUCAGCAAGUUCAAAGUCAGCAACACCAUUCUUCACCCAGAGAUCGUUGAGUGCCAAGUGUUUAAGACGGACAUGGAGCUGGAGGUUCUGCUCUACACCAAUAAAAUCUCCAGUGAGGCCCACCGUGAGGUAAUAAUGAAGGCUGUAAAAGUGGGAAUGAAAGAAUAUGAUUUGGAAAGGAAAUUUAAAUAUCCAGAAUAA